rnacentral:lncRNA from 1 species
GAACCAGGUGGUACCUUACCCUCUUGAUACUACAAAACCUGCCUCCCACUGCCCCUGGUGGGGCAUUCUGUUUCGGAGUGCAAUUUCCAUGUGGCCCAUGUAGCGUGCAGUGCCCUCCUCUCCUGAGCUGAAACUACCCAGGGCAGAUGUCUUCAAAAAAAGAGCAGGAAGAAGGCAAAUGGCAGAUGAAAUGAGAUGUCAAUAUGGAACUACUCGAGCGUCAGUUGCAAGGGAAAAUCCAAGACAACAGAUAAUACAUUUCCAUUAAGAGCCAGCUGCCAUGUUGUCAGUUAUUCUAUGAAGCCUACAUGGCAAGAAGCCUAAGGCAGGCUCUGGCCAACAUCUCAUGAAGAAAUGAGGCCCUUAGGCCAACAACCCAUGAAGAACUGAAUCCCAUCAACAACUACUUAAGUGAGCUUGAAGAUGGAUCUACUCUCUAGACAAGCCUUAAGAUGACUGCCCUUGUGGGAGACCCAGAGCCAGAGGAUCCAGGUCGGCCAUGCCUGGAUUCCAGAAACACAGAAAUCGUGACUAAAUGUGUAUUGUUUUAAGCCAUUAAAUUUUAGAGCAACUUGUUAUACAGCAAAAUAUAAUUAAUAUGGAGUAGCUCUGAAGAAACUACAAAAAGAGUUCAAGAACAAAGCAGGAGAUACCAGACAAGUGUGUUCAUGAUUCAGAUAUUCAGUUAGACUUAUCGCUCAACUGAACACUACUAGCUGCUUAUGGAUUUGAUAUUAACCUAUUGUAAUUUCCAUUCUAAGUCUCAUUUAGUUUAUACUCAAACUACUGGUUAAAGAUGGAAGGCUAAGACAGCAAAAGAACAUAGAUGUUCAAAUAGAAGUUAAUGAAGAGCACAAAAUAGUAAUCCGGUAAAUUUAUUUCAAAAUUUUCUGUAUUCUGAAAUAAUAUCUUCUACAGCA